UGAAGACGACGAGGUAGAUAGGUUGGGGGUGGAAGUGCAGUAAUGCAUGGAGCUGACCAAUACUAAUCGGUCGAGGGCUUAUCCUA
rnacentral:rRNA from 1 species